rnacentral:tRNA from 1 species
AAAGAAGUAUUCAAUAGUGAUAAAGAAUUGCAAAUUCUUUGGUGGUUUUAUCCCUUUUUUU